GCGCGGUUAGCUCAGCUGGAUAGAGUGUCGGCCUCCGAAGCCGAAGGUCACAGGUUCGACUCCUGUACCGCGCGCCA
rnacentral:tRNA from 2 species